AUUGAACGCUGGCGGCAGGCUUAACACAUGCAAGUCGAGCGGAGAUGAGGUGCUUGCACCUUAUCUUAGCGGCGGACGGGUGAGUAAUGCUUAGGAAUCUGCCUAUUAGUGGGGGACAACAUUCCGAAAGGAAUGCUAAUACCGCAUACGUCCUACGGGAGAAAGCAGGGGAUCUUCGGACCUUGCGCUAAUAGAUGGGCCUAAGUCGGAUUAGCUAGUUGGUGGGGUAAAGGCCUACCAAGGCGACGAUCUGUAGCGGGUCUGGGAGGAUGAUCCGCCACACUGGGACGGAGACACGGCCCAGACUCCUACGGGAGGCAGCAGUGGGGAAUAUUGGACAAUGGGGGAAACCCUGAUCCAGCCAUGCCGCGUGUGUGAAGAAGGCCUUAUGGUUGUAAAGCACUUUAAGCGAGGAGGAGGCUACUGAGACUAAUACUCUUGGAUAGUGGACGUUACUCGCAGAAUAAGCACCGGCUAACUCUGUGCCAGCAGCCGCCGUAA
rnacentral:rRNA from 1 species